rnacentral:pre_miRNA from 1 species
AGUAGGACUGCUGGGUUAUAUGGUAACAUCACAUUUAACUUUUUGAAGAAUGGCCAAAUUGUUUUCCAAAGUGGCUGCAUCAUUUUCUACUCCCACCAGCAGU